rnacentral:lncRNA from 1 species
GAAACUAACAUGAUUGAUCUCAGUGAAAACAGUUUUGUUUUAUUCUCUUGAAGCUACCCUCAGAAUUCUACUUUGCAUGAUUACUUGCAGUAUUUUUCCAUCUUCGUUUUUACUCCCCAGAACUGGCUGGUUUGUCAGAGACCCAAAUAACUACGGAAUUCAAUUGCCAGCCUAGGGAUAAGCUUCAAAUUAAAUUUUUCUCACUUACUUUUUUUCACCCACGCCCUGAUUGGAGCAAAGCUGCCAUUCUCAUUAUAGAGUUGUUGCGUUUAAUUAUCCUCUUCCUCUGUCUGAUGGAGGCAGCACUUUAGCCCUGGUUGGGAGGGUGGAACACUUGGCACCUCUGUGUCACUUCUCUUGGUGAGCCAGUUGGAGAACAAAGAACCAAACCAGCUCCAUCUGUGAUAACACGGGCUUGGUAUGUAUGGCUCCCCUGGCUUCACCUGAAUUUAUGGCUGCUCAGCAUCUUAAGAAAUCCAACCACAACAGCUACCUUUAUGUCUCGUUGCCAAAAACUGGAGACCUACAGGCUGAAGCUGUUUUCUCCCCUGUAGGAAAUUAUAUGUGCAGAAUAUCAUCUGUGCAGAACCACAUGGUUUUCCUGAACAUCCAUAUGUGCACUGCUCCUUGAACGUGAGGCACUGUAAGGAGAAUAAAGUCAGGAACACAGCAGCAAAAUGGCAGGUGGAUGCUGAUGUGUUUAUUGGCACAGACACGGAGGCUGCCCCACAUCCCCACACUGGUUUUCCACCUCCACAUUCCCAGCGCUCCCCAGCUCCGAGGGCAGGGCUGCAGAAGGUGCCACCACACUUCAGAAGCUCUAUGGACCAAAAGCUGCAGUGAUACAAAGUGUUUGGAGAGAACCGAUCAGAGAGACUGCCCUGAUCAAUACCUGCAGAAGUAUGCAGCAGCUACCUCUGGAAGAAGCAUACUGAUUCAGGUAGAAAAAAAGAAAACAUGA